rnacentral:rRNA from 1 species
UACAGAGGUCCCAAGCGUUGUUCGGAUUCAUUGGGCGUAAAGGGUGCGUAGGUGGCGUCGUAAGUCGGGUGUGAAAUCUCGGGGCUUAACUCCGAAACUGCAUUCGAUACUGCGGUGCUUGAGGACUGGAGAGGAGACUGGAAUUCAUGGUGUAGCAGUGAAAUGCGUAGAGAUCAUGAGGAAGACCAGUGGCGAAGGCGGGAUCCUGGGCCAGUACUGACGCUGAGGAGCGAAAGCGUGGGGAGCAAACAGG